rnacentral:rRNA from 1 species
UACGGAGGGGGCAAGCGUUGUUCGGAAUUACUGGGCGUAAAGGGCGCGCAGGCGGCUGCUCAAGUCAGGCGUGAAAAGGCCUGGGCUCAACCCGGGAAUUGCGCUUGAGACUGGGCUGGCUUGAGUGCGGGAGAGGAUGGUGGAAUUCCCAGUGUAGAGGUGAAAUUCGUAGAUAUUGGGAAGAACACCGGUGGCGAAGGCGGCCAUCUGGACCGCAACUGACGCUGAGGCGCGAAAGCGUGGGGAGCAAACAGG